rnacentral:rRNA from 1 species
UGCACCCCGCUGACGAGCGGCGGACGGGUGAGUAAUGCAUAGGAAACUGCCCAGUAGUGGGGGAUAGCCCGGGGAAACCCGGAUUAAUACCGCGUACGCCCUUCGGGGGAAAGCAGGGGAUCUUCGGACCUUGCGCUAUUGGAUGUGCCUAUGUCGGAUUAGCUAGUUGGUGGGGUAAAGGCCUACCAAGGCGACGAUCCGUAGCUGGUCUGAGAGGAUGAUCAGCCACAUCGGGACUGAGACACGGCCCGAACUCCUACGGGAGGCAGCAGUGGGGAAUAUUGGACAAUGGGGGCAACCCUGAUCCAGCCAUGCCGCGUGUGUGAAGAAGGCUUUCGGGUUGUAAAGCACUUUCAGUGAGGAGGAAAACUCUGCGACUAAUACUCGUAGGGCUUGACGUUACUCACAGAAGAAGCACCGGCUAACUCCGUGCCAGCAGCCGCGGUAAUACGGAGGGUGCAAGCGUUAAUCGGAAUUACUGGGCGUAAAGCGCGCGUAGGUGGUUUGAUAAGCGAGAUGUGAAAGCCCCGGGCUUAACCUGGGAACGGCAUUUCGAACUGUCAGGCUAGAGUAUGGUAGAGGGUAGUGGAAUUUCCUGUGUAGCGGUGAAAUGCGUAGAUAUAGGAAGGAACACCAGUGGCGAAGGCGG